AUUUCAGAGCAGCGGCGCCGACCGUUUUAAGAGGAGUCAGCUCCCGACACCGCCUCCCACUUACUUCUCCACAUUUCCACCGCUGGAGGGGGGACUUCGGCUAUCACAGUCGAGGGAGGUUGAAAACCCCACUUCAAAACCCGUCGGAAUGUUUUGAGAAAAUGUGGAUGGUAAUGGAGAAAUGUGAACAGAGGAGAGAAAGUAGCGGUCUUGUAAAGGAUAUACGAUAUUUUCCAAGUGGGCAGAAAGCACAGGAGGGAAAUGGCACAGUGACAAGAGGUCAGGGGAGCGGGAGAUGGAGCCAAGGGUCGGCGUUUGACGCUUACAGAGUUCUGGAAGGGAAAGGACCUUUCUAUUCCAUGCAUUUCUGCGCUGCGAUGUUUUUGUGCCACACACCAUAGCUGAAGAAGUUUCACUUAAUGCCUUACAGUAAAUUGGAAGGAAAGAAAGAAGGAGAGCAAGAAAUGCCCCAUGUCAAAAAUUCUGCUGCGUGGAGAGAAAUGGUGAAAUUACAAGCAAUUUGGAGAAUGUGAGGAAGGGUUC
rnacentral:lncRNA from 1 species